CAAUAAACAAAAACCAGGGUCAGAGCACAGGGCACAUGCUUUCUUCUCCUUUAAACCUAACUACUCAUAUAUAUAUUUUUUCUUGCUGUGACAGAGAAAUGUACUCAACUCUUUUUGUAGUGAAUUGUAUCUCGGAAAAACAUUUUUAUAUAUGGAGGGCUGAGUGGUGUAACAUUUUUAAUGGCACAUUUUCAUCUGUGUUGCAGUGGUGGAACUGAGCUCUGCUGCUGUGAAAGCACAGCCCGGCCGGGUUAUGUGCUGAGGGCUCUGUCUGCCCGGUCAAGGGCCAUGAAUCUCAGCUGAUGUACUCAGCUUGAAGUGGGAGCAGCUUGCCCCAUGGGAUGUGUGCUUGGAGAUCUCGAGCUGUGGUGGAAAGGGGCCUGGAUAGACUCUAGUGGAUCUAGACCUGAUCCUGCAUCGAUGGACUACCACCAAGACCAAUGGUGACUGCUAUCACUGACUUUGGAAGAACUCCUGUUCUACACUCAGUAUGCAGAAGCAAACCCCAACAGCACACAGAGGCAACAUUCCUGUGUGACACCCCCAUCAUCAAGCCCAGAUGCUCUGGUGGAGCGCAGAUGUCCCACAGAGGUCCAAUCUAAUGCGCUGAAGUGACAGAGAAUCUGCUGCAUCCUCAGCAGUGUUAACCAGCAGGUACACGAGCUGCCUGGCAGAGGAGCAGACAGAACUCUCCUGGGACUGACCGCAGUGUCACUUUCCUUGAUGGGUCAUUGAGGUUUGGGUUCUGCCCUCUUCACGCAUCUCCUCUGGCUGCAGGUAAGGGUGAUGUGGUCCCACUGACUUCUGUUUGCUAAAUGUUGGGAAAGGAGGUAUGGGGAGCUGCACCCAGAGUCAGCAAUCAUAGGAUAGAGUCACAAAGUCAUGGACUUGUUUGAGUUGGAAGGGACUUUUAAAGGUCAUGUAGUCCAACCACCCUGCAAUGAACAGAGACAUCUACAGCUGCAUCAGUGUGCUCAGAGCGUGGUUGAGCCAAAUGAGACAGGAAAAAGGGGUUUUACUAUAAUAUUUAUUAUUUCUAAGAUAUAUUUUUCCUCUCCCAUAAAUUCACAGCAAUCAAUACAAUGGUUUUGGUUUUGUGGGAUUCUAUAACACAAGAUCUGGCUCCUGCAGAAGUUAAACUCGCUGGUGGUAGUUUCUGUACGCUUGUCCAAGGAGCCUCUGAGCAAGAGGCAUGAUGUCUUAGCAUAAUGAAUUUAAGCACAAACAGUUAUUAUUUCUAAAUAAGUACAUGCUAUUAAGUGCUAUCAAGCUUCUAUAGAAAAUAUGAAAACAUUGGAUGAAAAACAUUAUAAAAGGCUGAACUCUCACCUGGGAAGUAGCACAUAAUGUAAAUCAAUAGAGUUGCAUUUUUUUACUCCUUUAUUGACUCACAAACACACAGCCUGUAAGAGCCCUUCAGGAUUCUUCCCCCUUCCCAACCCUAUUUUAUUUCCAAAUACUGCUAAAGGAAUGUUUUUUCUCUCAAGGUAAUUGCAUAACUUCCUUCUGUUUCACACUCAAAAAGCACCCAUGUGAGUCAAUGAAGCACGGACCAUGUUUAGAUUAUCUCUUACCCUUCUCUAAUGAUGUUCAGCAGAUCAAUUGGUGUGAGAGUCAUUUUUUUUUUCCCCUUAUAAAGGAUCUUGAUCUUUCUCUAAGGGGAAUGACCUUGACUUGGUAGUGCAGCUAAACCAGGAAAGUUGUUUUGCUAUUCAAACUGAAUUUAGGCAAGCUAAAUAAAUAGUAGGCAUAAAAACAAAUCUCCUCCCUUAAAUGAAUGUAGGAUAUUAAGACCUGGCUUUGUCAUGAUUACAGUCUAAUACACAGCUCACUGAGAGGCACUGUUUUUUUUUAGCCUGUGUCUCUAACCUUGACUGUUCUAUUCAUCUCUGUGGAAACGCUUCCUUUUUGCGUACAUUUUGAUUGAGCACACAAAGAAUUUAAAACAUACAUGGUGUGGUCUAUCAGAGAUACCUAAAUGGCUCUUUGGAAAACAUGAAUCGUGCAUUUUUUUUUUUUUCAAUAAAACACAGAACAAGUCAGUGGCACCACAUUAAUCAUUCAAGCUGACUGGAAAGACUGCAAGCAACAGCUGAGUUUAAAACAACAACAACAACAAAAAAGAACAGAACUACAACAACAACAACAAAAAAACAACCAAAAAGGCCCACACACUUUGAAAAGAAAGAACCAACUGGGAGAGAGAUUGCUUUUUUCCCUUAAGUUUUUUUAAAAAAACAGCAACAACAAUGAAAAAAGAACAAUUGGUAGGAAACAAAUUGCACUAUAAUGGCUGGUUGGAAGGGCUGUACUUCAGCUCAGGAGAAAAGAUUUACAAAUAUGAAUUUACCUGGGGAACAUAAAACUAGGGUGAGAGCAGUUCUGAAAAGUAAUCCUUCCUCCCUCCCUCCCUAUCUUCCUUCCUUCCUCCCUCCCUUCCUUCCUGUCUGCCUCCCUCCCACGUGUCCUCCCUCCCUCCCUGCCUUCUAGCCUGUCUUCCUUCCUGUCUUCGUGUCUCCCUUCCAGCCUGCCUCUUUUCCUCUCUCCCUUCCUUCCUACAUUCCUCCCACCUGUCCUCCCUCCCUCCCUUUCCUUCCUUCAUUCCCAGCACCCUUCCUGCCUCCCUCCCUCACUCCUUCCUCCCUGCCUUCCUACCUCCCUCGCUCUCUUCCUUCCUGUCUGCCUGCCUGCCUUUCUCCCUUCCUUCCUUCCUCCCUCCCGUCCUCCCUGCCUUUUUUCCUUCCUCCCUUCCUUCGUGCUUUCCUGUCACUUUCUCUCACUCCCUCUCUUCCUUCCUUCCUCCCCUCCCUGCCUUUUUUCCUUCCUCCCUUCCUUCGUGCUUUCCUGUCACUUUCUCUCACUCCUUCUCUUCAUACCUCCCUCCCUCCCCUUCCU
ensembl:lncRNA